rnacentral:rRNA from 1 species
GACGAACGUUGGCGGCGUGCUUAACACAUGCAAGUCGAACGGUGAAGCGCCUUCCUUUUUGGUGGGUGUGGAUGAGUGGCGAACGGGUGAGUAACACGUGAGUAACCUGCCCCCUUCUUCUGGAUAACCGCAUGAAAGUGUGGCUAAUACGGGAUAUUCUGUGUCUGUCGCAUGAUGGGUCUGGGAAAGAUAUUGAUUCGGUGGGGGAUGGGCUCGCGGCCUAUCAGCUUGUUGGUGGGGUGAUGGCCUACCAAGGCGGUGACGGGUAGCCGGCCUGAGAGGGUGGACGGUCACAAUGGGACUGAGACACGGCACAGACUCCGAAGGGAGGCAGAAGGGGGGAAUAUUGAACAAGGGGCGCAAGACUGAUGCAGCGACGCCGAGGGAGGGAUGGAGGCCUUCGGGUUGUGAACGUCUUUCGCCAGUGAAGCAGGCCUGCCUCGUUUGUGGGUGGGUUGACGGUAGCUGGAUAAGAAGCGCCGGCUAACUACGUG